UACGGGAGGCAGCAGUGAGGAAUAUUGGACAAUGGAGGCAACUCCGAUCCAGCCAUGCCGCGUGCAGGAAGACUGCCCUAUGGGUUGUAAACUGCUUUUAUACAGGAAGAAACCUUGGUACGUGUACCAAGCUGACGGUACUGUAAGAAUAAGGAUCGGCUAACUCCGUGCCAGCAGCCGCGGUAAU
rnacentral:rRNA from 1 species